AUUAAGCUGAUGAGGGAAAAAGUAAUUAAGAAAGGUCAGAAAGAGAGGAAAUGCCUUGGUUGAAAGCAUUUCUCUGAUAUACUUCUUAAUGAAGCACAUUCCGUAGGCUUCCGCUUCGAACCCAUGAAAGUAGUAGGAGCUGGACGUACGCAGGCGAUAACGGUUAAAGUGAAAGCUGUGAAUAUAUAGCUUUAAAAAGGGUGGCACCGCGGGAAAAACUCUCGUCCCUUGU
rfam:Virgibacillus soli strain PL205 scaffold000034, whole genome shotgun sequence.